rfam:Amborella trichopoda AMTR_V1.0_contig_5653, whole genome shotgun sequence.
UACCUAAUUGAUCUUGCCAGUAGUCAUAUGCUUCUCUCAAAGAUUAAGCCAUGUAUGUGCAAGUGUGAACUAAUUCAGACUGUGCAACUGCGAAUGGCUCAUUAAAUCAGUUCUAGUUUGUUUGAUGGUACAUGCUACUCGGAUAACCGUAGUAAUUCUAGAGCUAAUAUGUGCAAAAAAUCUUGACCUCUGGAAGGGAUGCAUUUAUUAGAUAACAGGCCAGUGUGGGCUUUGCCUGAUGCUUUGGUGAAUCAUGAUAACUCGAUGGAUCGCACAACCGUUGUGUUGGCAAUGCAUCAUUCAAAUUUCUACCCUAUCAACUUUCGAAGGUAGGAUAGGGGCCUACCAUGGUGGUGACAGGUGAGAGAGAAUUAGGGUGAGAUUCCGGAGAGGGACUAUGAGAAACGGCUACCACAUCCAAGGAAGGCAGCAAGCGCACAAAUUACCCAGUCCUGACACAAGGAGGUAGUGACAAUAAAUAAUAAUACCGGGCUUCAAGAGUCUGGUAAUUGGAAUGAGUACAAUAUAAACCCCUUAACGAGGAUCCAUUAGAGGGAAAGUCAGGUGUCAGUAGCCACGGUAAUUCCAACUCCAAUCGCGUAUAUUUAAGUUGUCGCAAAUAAAAAGCUCGUAGUUGGAUCUUGGGCUGGGCCGACUAGUCCGCCUUCAUGGUGUGCACCGACCGUCCCGUCCCUUCACCCGGCGAUGCGUUCCUGACCUUAACUGGCUUGGUCUUGCCUUCAGCACUGUUACUUUGAAGAAAUUAGAGUGCUCAAAGCAAGCGUAAGCUUUGAAUACCAUAGCAUGGGAUAACAUCACAAGAUUUCGUUCCUAUUGUGGUAGCCUUCGAGAUCAGAGUAAUGAUUAAGAGGGACAGUCGGGGGCAUUCGUAUUUCAUAGUCAGAGGUGAAAUUCUUGGAUUUAUGAAAGAUGAACCACUGCGAAAGCAUCUGCCAAUGUUGUUUUCAUUACUCAAGAACAAAAGUUGGGGGAUCGAAGAUGAUCAGAUACUGUCCUAGUCUCAACCAUAAACGAUGUCGACCUGGGAUUGGCAUAUGUUGCUCUUAGGACUCCAUCGGCACCUUAUGAUAAAUCAAAGUCUUUGGGUUCCAGGGGGAAUAUGGUCGCAACGCUGAAACUUAAAGGAAUUGAUGGAAGGGCACCACAAGGAGUGGAACCUACGGCUUAAUUUGAAUCAACAAGGGGAAACUUACCAGGUCCAAACAAAGUAAGGAUUGCUAAAGUGAGAGCUCUUUCUUGAUUCUAUGGGUGGUGGUGUAUGGCCGUUCUUAGUUGGUGGAGAGAUUUGUCUGGUUAAUUCUGUUAACAAAAGAGACCUCAACCUACUAACUAGCUACGUGGAGGUAUCCUCCACAGCCAGCUUCUUAGAGGGGCUAUGACCGUUUAGGCCACGGAAGUUUGAGGCACUAGCAGGUCUGUGAUGCCCUUAGAUGUUCUAGGCCACACGCACGCUACAUUGAUGUAUUCAACGAGUAUAUAGCCAUGACCAACAGGCCUGGGUAAUCUAUUGAAAUUUCAUCAUGAUUGGGAUAGAUCAUUGCAAUUGUUGGUCUUCAACAAGGAAUUCCUAGUAAGCGUGAGUCAUCAGCUCGCGUUGAGUACAUCUCUGCCCUUUGUACACACCACCGGUCUCUCCUACUGAUUGAAUGGUCCGGUGAAGUGUAAGGAUCUCGACGACGAAGGCGGUCUGCCACUGGCGAUGUCGCGAGAAGUCCACUGAACCCUAUCAUUUAGAGGAAGGAGAAGUCGUAACAAGGUUUCUGUAGGUGAACCUGCUGAAGGAUCAUUG